GAGGGUGUGGCUCAGUGGUAGAGUGCGUGCUUAGCAGGCACUGAGGUCUUGGGUUCAAUCCCCAACACCUCCA
rnacentral:tRNA from 1 species